CAGAUCCGCCGGAAGCCGGGCCUGCCCCGCGCCAGUGCGGCCGGCCGGGGCGCGCGCUCGGCAGAGGGGGGUCGCCAGGUUCGCUGGGAGCAACUGCCUGCGAAGAGUUUCUCGGACGCACGGACCGUUACUGACCUCAGCGGCGGACGAAACCAGGACAGACAGGACUGAGCGCUCGGGGAAGCCAACCGCCCUGCCGUGAGGACCGUUGAGCACCGUGGAGAGGUCUGCACGGUGAGGAGCUACCGGUUUGCUGGCCGUGUGAGUGGACCACCCCACAGGAGGGUCUGCCCAGCUCCUGUGAAGCCUUCAGAGGCCUGCAGCCCUGGCUGACACGGGCAGCAACCCCAUGAGCAACUGCAGCCAGAACUACCUAGAACUGCCUGCUUCUGAAUUCCGGUUCCACAGCAAUUGAAUAACAAAUGUUUACUGUUUUAAGCUGCUGAGCUUAAGGGCAAUGGAUGACUGCGAUGGAUGACUGAUUCACUAGCUGUCUCACGUAUCUAUUCCUCUACAUAUAAAAGGACCUAAGAGCUGUGGGUAAACUGGCAUUCUCACAUCACUAAGACAGCCCUACACAAGUGGCACUGAGCCUCACGCUGUCUUCAUGCAUCGGGUCGCAUAAGGAUUUGGCAGUCCCUUUCUCAGGGAUAACAUGGCCCUGAGACCUCAGCUCCAAGACGGUGGCGGCCGCAAGCCGGGCUCGGUACAGCCUUCCGAGAAUUACCUGCAACACCAUGGGAACCCACGAGCCCGUGGGGGGGAGGGUCACUGCUUUUCCAAGAGUACACAGAGCCCCAGUUCACAACGUAAUAAGGGGCAGAGCUCACCUCCUCGCAUCUGCAUGGAGUCCUCUUCAUUCCAGGGUCCCCACCGGCAGGAUGCCCUGGGCCCCACAGGUAAACCUUUCAUCCUACAUCCUAAGCUCCCUUCAGCCACGAUUUCACGGGUGGCGGGGCAGUGCCACCUGCUCUCGGUUUGUCUGAGCACCGUGAACACGUGUAACACGCCGUGUCCUCUGUGCUGACACCCCGCC